GCAACGGUGCGCGUCUCGAGGUUUUACCGGAUCCCGUCCGCUCUCCGUUAGUCAAACUGGCAAGGGGCAGAUUAGUAGUUGGGUCGGUGACGACCAGCGAACACCGGCUGCUGUAUGUU
rnacentral:rRNA from 1 species